rnacentral:RNase_P_RNA from 1 species
GCGUUCGGGUAAUCGCUGGAUCUGAUUUUUCAGGUUUAGAGGAAAGUCCAUGCUCGCACGGAUCUGAGAUGACCGUAAUGAUCGUGCCUGGCCAAAAAAUAAGCCAGGGUAGAUUGGUUUGCUUGAAUAAAGCUUACUGAACUAACGGCAGGGAACGCACCUAAGUCUUAUGGAUAUGGUGUUAAUACCUUGAAAGUGCCACAGUGACGUAGUCCCGAUGGAAACAAAGGGAGUGGAACGCGGUAAACCCCACGAGCGAGAAACCCAAAUUAUGGUAGGGGAGUUUCCCAUUUCGGAAUUGAACGAUUGGGAGAACAAGAAGCCAAGGCUUUUUGUAGAUAGAUGAUUACCACCGGUGUACGAGGCUACCAGCCGUUUGUAGUACUAAGGAACAGAACAUGGCUUACAGAA